rnacentral:tRNA from 1 species
UAUCUGGAUGGUAAAGAAUCUGCCUGCAAUGCAGGAGACCUGGGUUUGAUUCCUGG